GACGAACGCUGGCGGCGUGCCUAAUACAUGCAAGUAGAACGCUGAAGGAGGAGCUUGCUUCUCUGGAUGAGUUGCGAACGGGUGAGUAACGCGUAGGUAACCUGCCUGGUAGCGGGGGAUAACUAUUGGAAACGAUAGCUAAUACCGCAUAAUAGUAGAUGUUGCAUGACAUUUGCUUAAAAGGUGCAAUUGCAUCACUACCAGAUGGACCCGCGUUGUAUUAGCUAGUUGGUGGGGUAACGGCUCACCAAGGCGACGAUACAUAGCCGACCUGAGAGGGUGAUCGGCCACACUGGGACUGAGACACGGCCCAGACUCCUACGGGAGGCAGCAGUAGGGAAUCUUCGGCAAUGGACGGAAGUCUGACCGAGCAACGCCGCGUGUGUGAAGAAGGUUUUCGGAUCGUAAAGCUCUGUUGUAAGAGAAGAACGAGUGUGAGAGUGGAAAGUUCACACUGUGACGGUAUCUUACCAGAAAGGGACGGCUAACUACGUG
rnacentral:rRNA from 1 species